GACGUAGGGCGCGAGCGUUGUCCGGAUUAUUGGGCGUAAAGAGCUCGUAGGCGGUUUGUUGCGUCGGCUGUGAAAUCCCGAGGCUCAACCUCGGGUCUGCAGUCGAUACGAGCAACUAGAGUGUUGCAGGGGAGACUGGAAUUCCUGGUGUAGCGGUGAAAUGCGUAGAUAUCAGGAGGAACACCGGCGGUGUAGACGGCUUUCUGGACCGUAGCUGACGCUGAGACACGAAAGCGUGGGUAGCAAACAGG
rnacentral:rRNA from 1 species